ensembl:lncRNA
GGCUGAGGAGAGCUGAUGGGGGAGCCAAGACUCUGGAGGACGACAUCACUCCACCAACCAGGAUCCUCACACACCUGAGCUGAACCCCAACUGAACCUGACAUCCUGCUGGUCCCGUCUCCUCAGUUCAUCUUAGCCUCCUCUUCCAGAAGACCUGCUGAGCUCAGCAGUCUGAGGCUGAUGUAUCAAUGACCUCCAGUGGGAGUGAUCUUCUUGACCCCACAUGUAAUCGUGUGCUUCCACACGCCUUUCCCUCACGUCUGUCACUAACCUCACUACUUCACUACUCUCUACUGCUUCCUCUUCUUCCUUCUCUGUGGUUCGAACCUUUACACUGAAGGCGCGUCUUCCUGCCCUCAGAGGGUUCAGCGUUAGGGUUGAGAGUCAGGGUUUAGAGUCAGGGACAGAGCUGGUCAGGGAGGACUGCUUUAACACAAACCUCUUCACUUGCUUUCGGAAUGGUGGUGACAUUUUGAAAAGAUUCAUUUGGGAAAAUGUUUUCCUCUGCUUCCCUUUACAAAAUUGUAUUAAACUUCUGUCAAGUGCGUUUGUUUAUAUAUUAAAAUCUGUUUUACCACAUGUUGAAGCAAGACUUCCGCUGUUUGUUCCAGACCAGGACUCUUUCUGAGGAGAGCUGCUGGAGGAGCUUAGACGCUGGAGGAUGACUAGGAAUCGACCAACAAGGAUUCCUC